CGGAGGAAAAGAAACCAACAGGGAUUGCCUCAGUAGCGGCGAGUGAAGCGGCAAGAGCUCAGAUUUGAAAUCGUGCUUUGCGGCACGAGUUGUAGAUUGCAGGUUGGAGUCUGUGUGGAAGGCGGUGUCCAAGUCCCUUGGAACAGGGCGCCCAGGAGGGUGAGAGCCCCGUGGGAUGCCGGCGGAAGCAGUGAGGCCCUUCUGACGAGUCGAGUUGUUUGGGAAUGCAGCUCCAAGCGGGUGGUAAAUUCCAUCUAAGGCUAAAUACUGGCGAGAGACCGAUAGCGAACAAGUACUGUGAAGGAAAGAUGAAAAGCACUUUGAAAAGAGAGUGAAACAGCACGUGAAAUUGUUGAAAGGGAAGGGUAUUGCGCCCGACAUGGGGAUUGCGCACCGCUGCCUCUCGUGGGCGGCGCUCUGGGCUUUCCCUGGGCCAGCAUCGGUUCUUGCUGCAGGAGAAGGGGUUCUGGAACGUGGCUCUUCGGAGUGUUAUAGCCAGGGCCAGAUGCUGCGUGCGGG
rnacentral:rRNA from 1 species